CUCAUAUAUUCCUAAAUGCUGAUGUUCACUGGAUUCUAUCAUUUGGGGCCAGGCCACACUUCAGGCCAAAUCCAUAUUAUGAAGACCUGGAGAGAAUGGAGGAGUCAAUCAUGUCAAUUCUGCACAACUUAGAGAUGGAGAACACUGAGAUCCAUGAGAACAGCCAUAAGCUGAAGAAGGAGAUUACCUUCUCUAGAAACCUGCUCAGCCAGCUCCUGAUGGAGAACACAUGCAGGAAGAAGUUGGUCCCACGGAAGCAGGGGAGCAAGGAGGGACAUCUUGAGUGUGCACUGAACCAGAAAUAUUUGGUUGACUUCAACAAGAAAGAUAAAGACCAGCAACGUCCAGACCCAGCAUCAUCAGGUCUCAGAAAGUACAAGAGAGCUGGAAUUGGACACACCCCAGUAAGAGAGCUUCCUGAAGAAUAAGUUGCUUUCUCAGGAGUCCCUGAUGACAAACAUCCUGAAUGAAAACACCACUUGAGAGACAGCUUGGGGGACCGCCUUUCAUUAUGUGUGCUAGAGGAGAAACAGC
ensembl:lncRNA